rnacentral:rRNA from 1 species
GACGAACCGUGCGAACGUUAUUCGGAAUCACUGGGCUUAAAGCGCGUGUAGGCGGGCCGCCACGUCGGGCGUUGAAAUCCCCCGGCUCAACCGGGGAACGGGCACCGAUACGAGCGGCCUGGAGGGGAGUAGGGGGACCUGGAACUUCCGGUGGAGCGGUGAAAUGCGUUGAGAUCGGAAGGAACGCCCGUGGCGAAAGCGAGGUCCUGGGCUCCUGCUGACGCUGAGACGCGAAAGCCAGGGGAGCGAACGGG